rnacentral:rRNA from 1 species
CUAUGCGCCUUGCCAGCCCGCUCAGAAACUUAAAGGAAUUGACGGGGGCCCGCACAAGCGGAGGAGCAUGUGGUUUAAUUCGAUGAUACGCGAGGAACCUUACCUGGGCUUAAAUGCUUAAUGACGUACUGGGAAACUGGUAUUUCUUCGGACAUUUUGCAAGGUGCUGCAUGGUUGUCGUCAGCUCGUGCCGUGAGGUGUCGGGUUAAGUCCCAUAACGAGCGCAACCCCUAUUGUUAGUUGCCAUCAGGUCAUGCUGGGGACUCUAACAAAACUGCCCGCGUAAGCGUGGAGGAAGGUGGGGAUGACGUCAAAUCAGCACGGCCCUUACGUCCAGGGCUACACACGUGCUACAAUGGCCGGUACAGAGGGCAGCCACUUGGUGACAAGGAGCAAAUCUCAAAAGCCGGUCUCAGUUCGGAUCGGAGUCUGCAACUCGACUCCGUGAAGUUGGAUUCGCUAGUAAUCGUAGAUCAGCAAUGCUACGGUGAAUACGUUCCCGGGCCUU